GAUGAACGCUGGCGGCGUGCCUAAUACAUGCAAGUCGAGCGAACGGACGAGAAGCUUGCUUCUUUGUUGUUAGCGGAGGAGGGGUGAGUAACACGUGGAUACCCUACCUAUAAGACUGGGAUAAUUUCGGGAAACCGGAGCUAAUCCCGUAUAAUCUUUUGAACCGCAUGGUUGAAAAGUGAAAGACGGUCUUGCUGUCACUUCUAGCUGGUUCCGCGCUGCAUUAGCUAGUUGGUAAGGUAACGGCGUACCAAGGCAAGUAUGCAUAGCCGACGUGAGAGGGGGAUCGGCCACACGGGAACGGAGACACGGUCCUGACGCCUGCGAGAGGCAGCAGUAGGGAAUCUUCCGCAAUGGGCGAAAGCCUGACGGAGCAGCGCCGCGUGAGAGAUGAAGGUCUUCGGAGCGUAAAACUCUGUUAUGAGGGAAGAACAUAUGUGUAAGUAACUGUGCACAGCUUGACGGUACCUGAUCAGAAAGCCACGGCUAACUACGUG
rnacentral:rRNA from 1 species